ensembl:lncRNA
UUGUUUUAAGCCUUUAAAAUGCAUUUAUUUUGCUGGUGGGACAUUUUUAUUAAAUCUUAAUGAAGCAGAAAUUUAGCAAAGGCAUCCUAUCCCAAUAAAGCAGGAUACUGACCAGUGUGAUUUGUUUUAAAGGGUGAUUUUUUUUUUAAUUUUUUUUUUUAUAUGAGUUCCUCAUUUUAAUAUUCUAAAUAGUAUUAAAAUUUAUGAGAAGGUUUAAAUUUAAACUGAGGACAAAUAGAGGACCAACAUAAAAUAUUCCCGUAACAUCUCAGUCAGUGCAGCACAGUGGCAUUCUAUGAAUUUGUGAAAAUGCACGUGGGUAAAGAGCAGAGAGCAGCAGACUUACAGCAGUGCUGUUCUCACCGGCUCUGCAUCGGACUUUAUUCCAAAUGAUGCUCGUGGGACACUGGAGAAGCGCAGUGAGCCUGCUAUGAAGAUGCAGCGCACGCACCCUCCCUAACAACCACAAACCUCGGACAAACGGACGCGCGGAUCAAAGGCUCGGACCUCACCAGAGCAGUGUUGCACCCCGCCAGCGCGCCACUGGGGUCGGGUCCAGAUCAUAAAAAGGGCCGUGAGGGCACGACUCCUGGAGGGGAUUAUGGAGCUUUUCGCUGUGAGUUCCGAAAAAGAGCAGCGAAGGUGUGAACAGGAGGAAAUGGAUUGGUCCUCGCUGAUAAACGCAGUUAUUUGGAUAGAUCGUCAAGGCGUGGGAAUUCGAUGGAGGUCACUGCUCUUUACCAAACAAAGGAUUUUGGCUUUUGAGCGCAGCGUCACGUGAGAUGAUGCAAAACCACGGAACAAUGAUCAAAGAGAUGCGCGCUGAUGAUCCAACACUGAUGACACCACAAUCGCACACACACAUAUUAAUGGAUAAAGAUGCUUUGGCCUUUUGGAUUAGGCCUCUGUACAGAGAAACAAAUCAGUAUUUAUACUGAGGUAUAAUAACACUUAAUAGUAUAGUUAAUUUUUAUAUAUUUAAUCAUUAAUUUUAAAUGGUGGACACAUUAUGCAAAAUAAUAAUGUGGAUCAUUGACAAAUUAGGAUUUUCUUAACGACAAAAAGGAAACAUCUUUAAAAAGAAAUCUAGUGUAGAAUGUUUGGUAUAAGUUCUAAGAAAUGCUAAUUUGUAUGAAAGUUGGUUGCAUAAUAAUAAUAAUAAUAAUAAAAAAGUAUAGGGUACAAUUUUCUGGGAAAAA